rnacentral:tRNA from 1 species
GGCCGGGUAGCUCAGCUGGUAGAGCAGGGGACUGAAAAUCCCCGUGUCGGCGGUUCGAUCCCGUCCCCGGCCACCA